rnacentral:rRNA from 1 species
GAAAUUCGCCUUCAUGAAGCCGGAAUUGCUAGUAAUGGCAGGUCAGCAUACUGCCGUGAAUACGUUCCCGGGCCUUGUACACACCGCCCGUCACACCAUGAGAGUUGGGGAUACCCGAAGCCUGUGAGCUAACUAUUUAUAGGAGCAGCAGUCGAAGGUAGAAUCAAUGAUUGGGGUGAAGUCGUAACAAGGUAGC